AACGGCAUAUGCUUCCCUUACGACGUGCUCCUCGACAUCCUCCGCGGUCUCCCCUGCCGCCCGCUCGCCGAGUCCCGGCGCGUCUGCCGCACGUGGCGCGCCAUUGUCGACGCCCACAAGCUCCUCCUCCCGCACUUCUUCCCCCGGGGCCCGUUCCCCGGCAUCUUCACCACCAACUACGGAUGCGCCGAUAAAUCAUCCUUCUUCGCCCCGUCCGCGCCCGCGCGUUCAGAACAACUACGUGGGGCUUACGACGGGCCUGUCUUCCGGCAUCCUCUCUUUCGGCAUGACACCUUCUCCGUGCUCCACUUUUGCAACGGCCUCCUUCUCCUUAAGAACAGGUCACAACAUCAUCAUUAUGUGUGCAACCCGGCCACGGUGCGAAUCGCUAGCCUGCCGCCAUUGCCAGACAAGGAGACGUGGCUAUUCGUCGAGGGCAUGUUCCUCGCCUUCGACCCGGCCGUGUCGCGGCACCAUGAGGUAUUCCUCCUUCCAAAGGGAAAGAUCCUACCAAAGGAAAAGACCCAGCCACAAACUUGGGUCGAGGUCAAUUUGGAGCAGCUGCACUUGCCUAUAUUGUUUGAAGAAGAGAACCUAGCUGAAGAAGACCAAGAGGAGAUAGACAUCACAUAUCAUUCUGAUUAUGUGAGAGAUUUUAAUACAACACCACCAUCAGAUGUGAUCUCUAUAUCGGUAUUCUCGUCACAGACCAAUCAAUGGGUGAACCGGGAGUUUUUGCCGGGGCAUUACGCCCCUAGGAAACUCUAUGACAUGGUGACCGCGCCACACCCUAGUCACGUCAAAAUAUGGAAGUCGGCCGAGUACUGGCAAGGGUCGCUCUAUGUACAUUGCUGGAACCACAUCCUUUUGAUCUUGCGCAACUCGGAGGGGGUGUACAACAUGGCCCAAUUACCAGGUAAAACUUAUAUUGAUGAACACACAAGUUGGUCAAAGUUGCUCGAGAGCUCUGUCGUAGCGAGUUACGACAGAGGGGUUCACUAUGUGGCGCACGACAAAAUCCAACUAAGGGUGUGGACACUGAUAGAAUCAGACGAUGGCCAGGUUCAGUGGAUGCUAGCACACCAAGCAGAGCUUAGUCACGAAAUACCACAAUGGAUUGAGCCUAGAGUGCCAUGGAAGGCCAUCGGAAACAAGAAAGCAAUUGCUAGCUUGUUUGAACCUUAUAACAUUGAGGAUUUCAUGUAUGAUGAGGAGGAUGGCCAGAGCGACACAACUGAUGAUCGUGAUGUGAACGAUGGAAACGACGAAGCAAAAGACAUCCAUCAGGCGGAUGGUGGCUUCGAUGAUACACCCAGUAAUGUUGAUGACAAUGGUCACAGUGAAGAAGAUGCUGCUCACGAAGAUGAAGAUGACAUAUUCAAAAGUGUAGACAGCUUUGAGUCCUCUUGGGACUCGGACGAGGACAACUUCAUCGACCUACAUGAAAGUUCCGAAAGCAUGUCACGGGAUUACAAGAUCAUAGGAUUACACCCGCAUAAGGAAGUCGUGCUCCUCCAAACCCACGGCGCCGUUACAGCAUAUCAUAUUAGGACCACGAGAAUGCAAUAUUUAGGCUAUGACCUCAUUAGGAACCCUUGUACGAAUGCCCAUGGCAUCGGCGCUGCGUUCCCUUACCGCCCAUGCUACGUUGAUGCGCUUCCGGCAUCU
rnacentral:rRNA from 1 species